AGUGAACGCUGGCGGUAGGCCUAACACAUGCAAGUCGAACGGCAGCACAGUAAGAGCUUGCUCUUACGGGUGGCGAGUGGCGGACGGGUGAGGAAUACAUCGGAAUCUACUUUUUCGUGGGGGAUAACGUAGGGAAACUUACGCUAAUACCACAUACGACCUACGGGUGAAAGCAGGGGAUCUUCGGACCUUGCGCGAUUGAAUGAGCCGAUGUCGGAUUAACUAGUUGGCGGGGUAAAGGCCCACCAAGGCGACGAUCCGUAGCUGGUCUGAGAGGAUGAUCAGCCACACUGGAACUGAGACACGGUCCAGACUCCUACGGGAGGCAGCAGUGGGGAAUAUUGGACAAUGGGCGCAAGCCUGAUCCAGCCAUACCGCGUGGGUGAAGAAGGCCUUCGGGUUGUAAAGCCCUUUUGUUGGGAAAGAAAAGCAGCAGGUUAAUACCCCGCUGUUCUGACGGUACCCAAAGAAUAAGCACCGGCUAACUUCGUG
rnacentral:rRNA from 1 species